UACGUAGGGGGCGAGCGUUGUCCGGAAUUACUGGGCGUAAAGAGAGCGUAGGCGGCACUACAGGUCUCAUGUGAAAUACCCGGGCUUAACUUGGGGGUUGCAUGGGAAACUGUAGAGCUUGAGUACAGGAGAGGCAAGCGGAAUUCCUAGUGUAGCGGUGAAAUGCAUAGAUAUUAGGAGGAACACCAGUGGCGAAGGCGGCUUGCUGGACUGAAACUGACGCUGAGGCUCGAAAGCGUGGGGAGCAAACAGG
rnacentral:rRNA from 1 species